UACGGAGGGUGCAAGCGUUGUUCGGAAUCAUUGGGCGUAAAGGGCGCGUAGGCGGGACGUUAAGUCCGAUGUGAAAUCCCUCGGCUCAACUGAGGACGUGCAUCGGAUACUGGCGACCUUGAGUCCUGGAGAGGGUAGCGGAAUUCCCAGUGUAGAGGUGAAAUUCGUAGAUAUUGGGAGGAACACCGGUGGCGAAGGCGGCUACCUGGACAGUGACUGACGCUGAGGCGCGAAAGCAUGGGUAGCAAAC
rnacentral:rRNA from 1 species